UACGUAGGCAGCAAGCGUUGUUCGGAGUUACUGGGCGUAAAGGGUGUGUAGGCGGUUGUUUAAGUUUGGUGUGAAAUCUCCCGGCUCAACUGGGAGGGUGCGCCGAAUACUGAAUGACUAGAGUGCGGGAGAGGAAAGUGGAAUUCCUGGUGUAGCGGUGAAAUGCGUAGAUAUCAUUUGGAACGCCAACGGCGAAAGCAGGCAACUGGGGAUGCACCGACGCUGAGACACGAAAGCCAGGGGAGCGAACGGG
rnacentral:rRNA from 1 species